UCUCCGUUGGUGAACCAGCGGAGGGAUCAUUACCGAGUUUACAACUCCCAAACCCCAUGUGAACCUUACCAAACGUUGCUUCGGCGGGGUGCCCCGGGCGCGGGCCGCAAGGCCUCAGCCCCGGAACCAGGCACCCGCCGGAGGCCCAAACCAAACUCUUGUUUUUGUAGAAUCUUCUGAGUGGCCUUUUAGGCAAAAAAUGAAUCAAAACUUUCAACAACGGAUCUCUUGGUUCUG
rnacentral:misc_RNA from 1 species